CAGGAUACAGUUUGCAAACAGCUCACUCCCAGCUUUCCCCUGGAAGCAGGAGAAGGAAGCCCAGAGUCUUGGGGGUCACUGCAGAGCACUGGUAAAAGCAAGCAACGUAAACAACCCCACUGUAAGAUGGGAACAAAGCGGACGGAAUGGCUGGUCCCAUGGGGAUUGGAUGACCUUGAUGAAGUAGCGGAUGGGGCUUGAUGGCCUCUGGCAAUCAUUACAGAAAUUCCAUGCUUCGUCUCCCAAGCUUUCACCUGAGAAAGAAACACAUUUCUAUUCUGUUCCAAAGAAGAAAGAACAGCCAAGCCAUUGUACAGUCAUCUCAAGAUGUGAGAGCACCCACAAGGAACACCCACAAGAAAUGAAAGUACUCAACAGCACCAGUAACAGAAGACUGCAUGAUAAAAAUGAUGGACUUGGCCCAGAUGGAUAAAUUAACCUGCUUAUUAAAAGAAGAAAUAUUAGGGGGAAAAUAAAAUGAUUGGAAACCUUUUACUGACUUUUUGAAUGAAGAAGAAAAGGAUUUACCAAUUUUGAGUUUUGAAGACUAAUUUGAAAAGUAUUUUUGCUCGAGAAAAGAGUCAACACUAAGAAACCCGGCUGGUGAUGCUUAUGCUAUUCUUUGUAACUGAAUGAAGAUAGAUCAAAAGUCAACUACUUUUCUUUUUCUAGUCUCUCUUUCUUCUUUUCUAUGUUUCUUUUUGUUCUAUUUUUUCCUGUCAUCUUUAUGUGUCUAUUCUAUACUUCUCAUCUUAAUUCUAUUUUGAAACUUUUAAUGUAACUUUUAAAAUCUUUUAAUAAAAAUAAAAUUAAAAAAAAGAAAAGACUAUACUCAGAAGUGAUUUCCCACCUCUUAGGGUGCAUACAGACAGCUCAC
rnacentral:lncRNA from 11 species